UCCAGGGUAGCCUAGUGGACAUGGCAUCUGUCCGGUAAGCGGAACACUGGGUUCGAUUCCCAUCCCAGGAC
rnacentral:tRNA from 1 species